AUAAUUAUGGUGUUAGUGCACAUAUUUCUGUCAAAAAUAAAGUUAUUUUUAUAAUUAAU
rnacentral:tRNA from 1 species